AUUGAACGCUGGCGGCAUGCUUUACACAUGCAAGUCGGACGGCAGCGGGGUAGUGCUUGCACUACUGCCGGCGAGUGGCGAACGGGUGAGUAAUAUAUUGGAACGUACCGAGUAAUGGGGGAUAACCAAUCGAAAGAUUGGCUAAUACCGCAUACGCUCUGAGGAGGAAAGCAGGGGACCUUCGGGCCUUGCGUUAUUCGAGCGGCCAAUAUCUGAUUAGCUAGUUGGUGGGGUAAGGGCCUACCAAGGCGACGAUCAGUAGCGGGUCUGAGAGGAUGAUCCGCCACACUGGGACUGAGACACGGCCCAGACUCCUACGGGAGGCAGCAGUGGGGAAUUUUGGACAAUGGGCGCAAGCCUGAUCCAGCCAUGCCGCGUGUCUGGAGAAGGCCUUCGGGUUGUAAAGGACUUUUGUUAGGGAAGAAAAAGGAGCGGUUAAUACCCGUUUCUGCUGACGGUACCUAAAGAAUAAGCACCGGCUAACUACGUG
rnacentral:rRNA from 1 species